AAGAAAGUGGCAGAGUGGUGAUGUGGCUGACUUGAAAUCAGUUGACGGGGGUUCGAUUCCUUCCUUUCUCG
rnacentral:tRNA from 1 species